UGAGAGUGCCAAUGUUGAGGCUGCUCGACUUCUUCAAGAAGCUGCAAGGAUUUUGAAGAGAGAGUCAGAAAGCACAGCCACUGCUGGCUCAGGAUCACAGACUGGUACUGGGACGUGUUCACCCAGUUCUUUUAGAGGUUUGUUUAACAACAUGCAAACCUCACUAGCUGAAGUACAACAGGGAACCCCUACAGUCGAUUCAGGCAGGAUUCCCUGCCCUAGAAAUGACCACAUUCAAAGAAAUCUUGUGCAGCUGUUUCAGCCAUGUGAUCGGGCAAGGGGGCAAAAGAUGUUCCAGAAAACUGGAAAGUGUAAACGGAAAACUACACACAGUGAAACCUGGACACGUGAUUUCUUUUGCUUACAGAGACCAAUGUUCAAACUGUGCCCAAUGGAGAAGACCGCAUUGGUUUACAGAAUUCAGCCCUUGGUAGGAAAAAAAUAACAUUUGCAGACAAAAAUUGAGGAUUUUCUGAACUAUGUGAAACUCUGUUUUCACAUUUUCCACAAUUGAAAGGUGCAGGAGGCUUUCAGAUGUUUUGGUCCGUUAAUAAAACCAAACAAUUGGCACCAAUUCCAAUGCCAGCCGGUGAGUACAGUGAGAAAUUUCUGAGAACUGAGAGUGGCCUGAACCAGGCAAUGGCCUACAUUCGACCACUUCAGAAAAACCUGGAGAGCAUUGCGAAGCGUGAGGCUGAAGAGGUAAGAACAGUUGUCAAAAUCUGAUCUCCUCUAUAUUCCUUCUUCUUCGCCUCCCUCUACAGACCUUUCUAUCUGAAUUUCCCUUGAUUCUAUCACCCUUUCCCCUUCCUCCUCUGCCCAAACCUUGGUGUCACCUUUGAUUCCUCCCUUUCCAACUCUCAACAUAUUUCUUCACUGGCACGCUCUUACUGUCUCUUUUUGAGCAAUAUCUAUUGCAUUAAACCUGCUGGACUAUGGCCCUCGACGAUCAGGACUGGAGAUCACUGGGUUAAGGUGUAAAUGCACAUGUAACACAUACUAUAAAAAUGAAGCAUGUUAAAAAUAAAUGUGUGUUUGUUUGUUGUAGUGUCAAGAGGUGGUCAUGGAGAAGUGCAAAAGGUGUGGAAAAGAUAUCCCUCUGCAAUGCCUUUCAGAACACAUUGAAAACUGUGGAAGGUCAUCUGUUUUUCUGGUGUAUUUGUCAUAUAAAUUGCUCAUUUACUUUUACAACAUAGUGGUUGACUUGUAUCUGUGGUAAAUAUGUUUUGACAUUCAAAGCAUGUAUGUCUUUGUUAACUGUUUUCAGACAGCCUGAUGACACUGAUUUGGAAGAUGAUGUCGUUAUGGAGAUAUCUGAAGAGACUCAACUAUCUAUGUCAUCACAUGACAACACAUCCCAUGUUCAAAAUUAUUACAACAAGUGCCAUGCUUCUUCUAGUGGACUGUACAGAGACUAUGUGGACCUUGUCAGUGAAGACAAUGUAUUUAGUGAUUCUGAAGAAGAGCAGCUGAAUAGAGUUCUAGAGGAAUCGCUAAAGGAAAGCUCGCAUGCAGCUUUUAAAUUUCAAAGUCAGACAAUUAAAAAGGAACUGGACGAGGCGGUUCGACUGGUAUGUUCUUCAGCGAACAAGAACACAGUUUGAAAGGUUGCAAGAAGGACUCCGUUCUCUCAGUGUAAUGGAUUCUAUGAAGGCCCACCCUGAAACCUUCAAACCUAUUUUCUGUCAAUCGACAGAGAAGCUGACUGCUGAUGUGCUUGAAGAGCUAUUCAAAGAGCAGCGAUCUGACUGUGGGAGUAACAAGUUUGAGAGAGAAAAUGAAGCAGUAUGUCAUUGGAGGGAUUAUCUCUUGGAUGUAGAGAUGGGGAUUUGUGGAGUUACCCUGGAGGACAUCCUUGUCUUUGCCACAGGAAGUGACAGUGUACCAGCAUUGGGCUUCAACCCUGCUCCAACUGUUGAAUUUUUGCAUGAUGGUUCACGGUUUCCACUUGCAAACACAUGUUCCAGCAUAUUAAGGGUACCAUGCAGGCAUUCAUACGAGUCCUUCAGGGAUGAUAUGGACUUUGGAAUUAAAAAUUCCCCAGGCUUUGGAAGGGCAUAACCAAAUUCCUUUGCUUACCAUACCUGUAGUCAAAGGGCACAAGUAUGUUCGAUCCUAAGAACAAUGUUAUGCAUGCCAAAGUGCUGCUAGAAUUUUUAUGUUUGUCAUUUUUGUUAUCUAUAAUUCUUUGUACACUUAAAUUUAGCAAGUGAGUCACCUUUGGUUGAGAAUUCUUACCUGUAGUUAUUAUUAUUGCAGAUAUUUAGCAGACACCUUUAUUAAGCACUACAAUUCAAUUUACUAAAAUAUUAAAAUGUAAUAGUUCAAUCUGUCAAUAUUAACAUCAGUGCUGAAAUGUUACAAGCCUUUAAAUAAAAGUAUAGGCUGGAUCUUUUCCCUCCUAAGGAUUUUUGGUAAUAGAGAAUUCUUAACAGUUGUUAAGUUGUUCCAAGAAAGAACAUUUUACUUUUCCUCCUUAUUAAUAAACACUAUUUGCAUUUCUGUGAUGUAAAGUCUGUUUGCAGCUUAUUUUUAAACUGAGAAUUAAAACACAAAUCCAUCAGCUAUAUUCACAUUAUAUUUAACACUACUUAAAUCAAAAUGGCAAAAUACUGUGAUACUCCAAGUUGACUAGAAAUUGGCCUUUACAAACUGGGUUUAAAAUAAAAAGGGUAAAAAUAAUUAUUUUUAUUAUAAAAACUAUUCACAUUAACACUUGCAGAGGUGAUGAGAAGAGAACCCUUGCUAAAACCUGAGUGCACUGUACAAUACAUGUUUGAAAGCCUUUUCAGGAUGAAAAGGAGCGGUUGUGGUAUGUAAAGGUCUUAAAACCUACAUUUAGGCAUUUCUGUUGUUUGCUACACUUAAUGCUUCUAAAUAAAGAUCAAGUCCGAAACAGCUGCUCGUCCUCAAAGGGUCAAUGUUGACUGGAAGGAGAGGAACCAGUGUGUCCUGCAAUGAAACUGGGGGCUCUGAUUCACGGCAGGCUCCAGGUCCUUCCAUAGUUAUCAAAAUCCAUCUAGUAAAAUGGAGACAAUCAAUUUAACAUGUUAAUUAGAUAUAUAAGGUAACCUUUAUUUGUAUCGCUGAAGAAAAGGAAGUACCAUAUCAGAGUUCCAAGUCUCACAGGAAGUGGGAUUUCCGCUGCUGUAGUUUGACAGUAGCCCUUGAAUCCAUAGCUGCUGUGGGGAUUUCAUGUGCUCCGAGGAUAGAGGACGUCGGUCCCACAUAUCAAGUUCUGUAAUAAUUUACCCAACACACGACGAGGAUGCUCCAGCAUAAAUCGAGCCACUUCAAUGUUUUCAAGGCCUUUGUCACUUCGGAC